rnacentral:ncRNA from 1 species
AAUAGUGCGCGAAACUUUAUGUUUCGUCGCUACUUCUUAGAGGGACUUUGUGUGUUUAACACAAGGAAGCUUGAGGCAAUAACAGGUCUGUGAUGCCCUUAGAUGUUCUGGGCUGCACGCGCGCUACACUGACACGAUCAACAAGUAUUUCCUUGCCCGGUAGGGUUAGGGUAAUCUUUUGAAAUCGUGUCGUGCUAGGGAUAGACGAUUGCAAUUAUUCGUCUUCAACGAGGAAUUCCUAGUAAAUGCAAGUCAUCAGCUUGCGUUGAUUACGUCCCUGCCCUUUGUACACACCGCCCGUCGCUCCUACCGAUUGAGUGAUCCGGUGAGCUGUCCGGACUGCGAUUAGUUCAGUUUCUGUUCUCUUCGCGGGAAGUUCUGCAAACCUUAUCACUUAGAGGAAGGAGAAGUCGUAACAAGGUUUCCGUAGGUGAACCUGCGGAAGGAUCAUUC